rnacentral:ribozyme from 1 species
AGCCGUUCGGGCGGCUCAAAACAGACCUUAGGCCCGAAGCGUGGCGGCAACCUGCCACCGGUGGUG